CUUUGAGCAAGACUCCCACCU
rnacentral:piRNA from 1 species